rnacentral:lncRNA from 1 species
CGACCUUUAAUUGCGGGCUGCAGCAUCGACUGGGCUACAGUAGAACAAGUUUAGUUGGCUGAUGCGAUUUGGGCCCUCCUAACCACCGACCCUUGGGAGCUUUUCUUUGGGAUCAUCGAGCCGACGUAUCUCAAGCUCACGAUGGAAUUAUGCUCCACAUUUCAUCUUUAGACCGUGAUGACGAACUACGAUGAUUCCGGCACGGUGCAAUUUUGCCUAGGUGGAUUAGUCCACCAACUCAGC